rnacentral:rRNA from 1 species
GAUGAACGCUGGCGGCGUGCCUAAUACAUGCAAGUCGAGCGAACGGACGAGAAGCUUGCUUCUCUGAUGUUAGCGGCGGACGGGUGAGUAACACGUGGAUAACCUACCUAUAAGACUGGGUAACUUCGGGAAACCGGAGCUAAUACCGGAUAAUAUUUUGAACCGCAUGGUUCAAAAGUGAAAGACGGUCUUGCUGUCACUUAUAGAUGGAUCCGCGCUGCAUUAGCUAGUUGGUAAGGUAACGGCUUACCAAGGCGACGAUGCAUAGCCGACCUGAGAGGGUGAUCGGCCACACUGGAACUGAGACACGGUCCAGACUCCUACGGGAGGCAGCAGUAGGGAAUCUUCCGCAAUGGGCGAAAGCCUGACGGAGCAACGCCGCGUGAGUGAUGAAGGUCUUCGGAUCGUAAAACUCUGUUAUUAGGGAAGAACAUAUGUGUAAGUAACUGUGCACAUCUUGACGGUACCUAAUCAGAAAGCCACGGCUAACUACGUG